AUGCAUCAUGCUGAUCUAGGAAAUAACCCAGAAUCUUUGUUCCUCCUUUACGUUUUGGGGGUUUCCAGCCGAUGGUCAUGUUGGCCUUCCCACAGCUCAGCAGAACAAACCCACGUGGCGCUGAUGGGCGAGCUGUGCAGCAAAGGGAGAGACCAAAGGCAGCGCUGUUCAGUGCAGGUUUGGAAAGGAAUAGCACUGAGGUGGGCUCAGCGAACGAACAGCACAGCAGUGUGCUGCAUUGGUGUAUUUAGCAAUGAGGAGAAUCUGGACGAACUGCAUUCAUCUGUACUGCAGCCUCACACUGUACUGAAGGAACAAAUUUGCCUGGUUUUAGUACACACCUGUCACUCUCUUGCUCUUGCUGGGGUCGUACGUUAUAACUGGAUCACUGGUUUUUGAAGGAUGACUGAUCCCCGCUUUAUUGACAGCCUUCACUCGGAACUGGUAUGCCUGUCCUUCAGCAAGGCCCAGCACGGGGUAUCUGCAGGUUUUCACAGGCUUUUCGUUGCAUGGGACCCAGUUCUCUGACCCAGCAGUACACCUGAAAUGGAAUGCAUCCCAAGGAGUUGCUUUGUGGUUUUCCCACAGCAUAAUCAUGAGGUUUCUUUCUCUACCAGAUAAAAGUACAGACCUCUCAAUAAAAUAUCCAAGGAUUGGGCUUCCUCCAUUAUCACUGGGUGCUAUCCAAGAAAGAAUCAAGCAAUCUUUAUUUAUGUCAUGGCAUUUCACAUUGAGAGGGGAUCCAGGUGCACCGGCUGAUUCUGCUGCAGCAUCUGCAGGAACACCAAGCUAUUGUGGUUAAGACUUUUUUCUUCUCUGUACCAAAACUUUGAUUCAACAACUUAAUUUUAAGUGUGUCCCAGUAAUACAGGUCAUAUUUUCUACAUCUUAAUCACAACUGAAUGUAAGAUUUGGACAUUCCGUUAAUUGUAACAAAAAAGAAAGCACAAAAUUGGGACACACUUUCUUGAGAAUGAGGCAGUGAAUUCCUAUAUGCCAAAGUAUUAGGAGAGAAGCUUUUGUUCUAAGUAGGACAGCAUCCUAUUAUUACCCCGAACAAACACAUAAGUGGUUUGCUCUUUGCAUCCACCCAGUGAGGGGACGCGGAUUGUGUAGAAUCCCUCAUCUUCUUUGUAAGCACACGGCACUCUCAGAGAAGCUUCCUGGUCUUGAUACUUCAGUUCCUGACGUUCUGAGUUCUGCAGCAACUCACCUGUAAAGCAUGAAAAAGGUAAAGGAGAUCCAGCUGAACUGGUGGAGUGAGGAUUGAUGUAUUUCCAAAUGAAAAAAUAAAAUAAAAUAAAAUACAACCAACAAACUCACCACCAAAAACAAGAGAAACAAAACCAAAACAGCAAGAUAAGGGAUCUGCAAGGCACUCCUGAUAAUAUACUUCACAGUUAUACUCAUGGACUCCGAUCCUAUUUUAUUGCCAUCCCUGUGUUCUCUUUGCACACAAACAACAGAGCAAAAAGAACGGCCGCUGUCCUGAAGAGCAAUCUGAGCAAUAAAGAGUAAUGAAAUGAAUGAGUCAAAAGUACUCUUCACAGCAGGGAACAGGAUGCUCUGAAUUCUGCCAGAUAUUUUAGCAGUCCUACCUGAGGAUGCAAAUAAAUUAUAACAUCUCUAUCUUGAGAAGAGCUGAGAGCAGCUCACGAAUCCCCAGUUCUAAUCCUCUCCUAUAAGCAUUAGAUUACAGCUAUGAAAUCAAAUGGGAUAUCAUAUAUGUAUAUGUAUUCUGUGUGUAUAAGCGUAGCUAUUGCAUACAGACCAUCUCUGAGCCAGGUAAUGUUUCGUUGGUGUUCAAGUAAAUCAGAAGUGAAGUAACAGGAGAGGGUGAAAGGCUCCUUUUCUCUUGAAAAUAGUGGUUUCAGUGAGGAGGCAAAAUCUGCCUCUCUGGCAAUAAGGGAUCCUAUGAAAUGAAAAUGAAAUGCAGCAUGAGAGAGACUUCCCAGGGACUUCUAGCUUGUAGCANACCACCA
ensembl:lncRNA